rfam:Triticum aestivum genome assembly, contig: Triticum_aestivum_CS42_TGACv1_scaffold_116944_2AS
CAACUACUCCCUCUGUCCCAAAUUUCUUGUCUUAGAUUUUUCUAGAUACAGAUGUAUCUAAUACUAAAAUGUGACUUGAUACAUCCGUAUCUAGACAAAUCUAAGACAAGAAUUUUGGGACCGAGGGAGGACUUU